GCUAAGACACCGAGCUCUGGGAGUAAGAAUGCAUUUGUUCAUUUGCUCACUUCAAGGAAAUCUGUAAUAUUCUUUUACUUGCCUAUGUGGUUUUGUUAUAUCUAAUUUGAUGUUAGUUUUUCAAAUAAUAUUGCAUAAUUCUGGAAUCCCCCCCCCUCAUAUGCUGGGUAUUGUUUUCCUGAAAGGCUUGUAAAUACAGUGGGGCAGUGGUUUAGAAGCACUGCACAUCAAAUAAAUAACAUAUACGGCACAGCAACAUUCUGAAAAGUCCGAUGGAGGCUUACUUUUGUUUCCUCAUCAAGUCAAUGGUGACACCUACACCUGUUGAAUAUCAGGCUGUUGAGCUCAAUAGUCGCAGAUAUUCUGACAGGUGACACCAGCAGCACCUUUCUAUAUAUGAUGCUCCCCAACACCACUCAUGAUUGAUUUGAUCCAUUUUAAUUUUCAAGGAGAUAAAGAUAUAUGGCCUACAUGAAAAUCAUACAUUCUCUCUCUGUCUCCCUCGAUCUAUCUCUUACUGAUGCUGUGAGGAUAAGGAGGAAAAGUUUAUGUUAUAUGGCAUCAGGUUGGAACCAGCUUGCCCUGACCCUAAUAGGGCUUUCAAGAAAAUAUGUGACUCAAUGAAGACAGGUGACUCUUUGCUGUCCCUGGAAUUUUGUCUGAGCUUUCCAACCACAAAGCUAAGGUUUCAAGCAACAACGGAGCUCCAGGUUUCUGGAUGACCUCUCCCACCCAGUUGAGGGACACUCAGUCUGUUAUCUCUUAUAUAUGAUAAUGCAGAUUACAAGGUGUGUCAUAAAGCAGCUGAGGAAGCUGCACACCUGAUUUACAGAAAAGGACCACGGCAGAGCUCUAGUAGAACUAGGUGGCCUCUUGCUACUGCCUCAUCCACACGAAGCCCUAGUUU
rnacentral:lncRNA from 1 species